UACGGAGGGUGCAAGCGUUAUCCGGAUUCACUGGGUUUAAAGGGGGCGUAGGAGGGCAGGUAAGUCAGUGGUGAAAUCCCCAAGCUUAACUUGGGAACUGCCGUUGAUACUAUCUGUCUUGAAUACCGUGGAGGUGAGCGGAAUAUGUCAUGUAGCGGUGAAAUGCUUAGAUAUGACAUAGAACACCAAUUGCGAAGGCAGCUCGCUACACGAAUAUUGACUCUGAGGCACGAAAGCGUGGGGAUCAAACAGG
rnacentral:rRNA from 1 species